rnacentral:rRNA from 1 species
CCUAACACAUGCAAGUCGAACGGUAACAGGAAACAGCUUGCUGUUUCGCUGACGAGUGGCGGACGGGUGAGUAAUGUCUGGGAAACUGCCUGAUGGAGGGGGAUAACUACUGGAAACGGUAGCUAAUACCGCAUAACGUCGCAAGACCAAAGAGGGGGACCUUCGGGCCUCUUGCCAUCAGAUGUGCCCAGAUGGGAUUAGCUAGUAGGUGGGGUAACGGCUCACCUAGGCGACGAUCCCUAGCUGGUCUGAGAGGAUGACCAGCCACACUGGAACUGAGACACGGUCCAGACUCCUACGGGAGGCAACAGUGGGGAAUAUUGCACAAUGGGCGCAAGCCUGAUGCAGCCAUGCCGCGUGUAUGAAGAAGGCCUUCGGGUUGUAAAGUACUUUCAGCGGGGAGGAAGGGAGUAAAGUUAAUACCUUUGCUCAUUGACGUUACCCGCAGAAGAAGCACCGGCUAACUCCGUGC